UAAACUAAAUAUUUUACGCAUCGUUCUUAAAAUCGCAGAUCUAACUUCAUUCCUUAAAAAAACCUGAAUCCUCCAUAUCGUUCCAUCGCUCUCCACUCUCAAAUCUCAAUCUCGUUGAACCUCCAUUUCCUUCAUUUUGGGCCAACACUCUCAUAUUUCAACCUCAAUCUGCGCCGAACCCUAAAUCUCGUUCUAGCAAGAAAGGCCAAGAAUCAAUAUACAUGGAAAGGGCAAUUAAGAAGUCAGUCAUGAACUCCAUAGAUUAUUUUGAUUUCGACGAAUCCGCCGAUCUCACUGCUCUUUAUGAUAAGCACACUAAAUAGUUGAAAUCACUCCCUAAGCUUGAUUCCAGCAUA